rnacentral:rRNA from 1 species
CCUACGGGUGGCAGCAGUGGGGAAUAUUGCACAAUGGGGGAAACACUGAUGCAGCGACGCCGCGUGAGUGAAGAAGUAAUUCGUUAUGUUAAGCUCUAUCAGCAGGGAAGCAAAUGACGGUACGUGAGUACGAAGCCGCGGCUCACUACGUGAAAGCAGCCGCGGUAAUACGGAGGGGGCAAGCGUAAUCCGGAUGUACUGGGUGUAACGGGGGCGUAGGCGGUAGUGCGAGUCUGGCGGGAAAGGCGGGGGCACAACCCCCGGACUGCUGUUGAAACUGUACGUCUUGAGUGCAGGAGAGGGAAGUGGAAUGCGUAGUGUAGCGGUGAAAUGCGUAGAUAUCAGGAGGAACACCAGUUGCGAAGGCGGCUUACUGGACUGUAACUGACGUUGAGGCUCGAAAGCGUGGGGAUCGAACAGGAUUAGAUACCCCAGUAGUC